GCGAAGCCCAUUGCUCCAAAAUUGGCUUAAUUAAUCACUUUAUUCUAAAUUAAUCCACAGUCCCUUCGCGGCUUCAUCCUUACAAGAGCGCAGCGCCACCAACUUCCGAUUCCCGGCGACGGCUAGCCGCCAAAAAUGUUAAAACGGUAACGCGUUGGCUGGAACCUGCGCCGAGAUAUAAAUCUUUUUGGCCAGCUGUAUGGGAACCCAACCCCAGCCGCAGCCCUCUGCCUUCCCCCUUGCUGCACAGUGCUGAAGCUCCUAAAAUGACUUCAGUCUGCACAGGUGUACCACUGCAACUGGACCGGUUUCUUUGGCAUCAUCCUAGAAUCUCCUUUACCUGUUAUGGAAUAUAUUAAAACAAGAAAGGAGCCUUCAAGUACAGCAGCUGGUUAAAGAGAAAGGUAAUAACUCUUCCUUCUUUUCUUGUUUUUCAAACAUUCGGGCCACAUGCCAUAAAAACCUGUCAAUAAUUUUAUUCCUUUCUUUAAAUAUGAUUUACGAGUUUGCCACCAAGGAAUUAUAGUUUUGGGACACAAGCAGAUGCUUUUGUUAGGAAGAACUUGCUGUUGCCUGUUAAACUGGACCUACCUCUAAUUGGGUCCACUGUGUUGGUUUUUUAGUUAAGUUUUUAUCAAAGGGAAUGGUGGCAGUAAAAGCAUGAUUGAUGGAAUUUUUCACUCUAUUUUCACCGUCUUAUAUUCAACUUGCAGCUGAUGAAAUGGGGAUUGAAUCAACUGAUUGAAAUCUUUCAGUGAUAACAAGCAAUUAGACUCUCCUAAAGACUUCCAUCCUGAUUUCUUCUACUUUUUCUGUUAUUUAAAUAGGACAAUUACUCUUCUAAAAAUCUGUUUAUAAUAUUACUUGGUAUCUAAUCUUCUUCACUUUUGAAUCCUGGGAAAGUAAAUGCAGCAGACCAACUGAAUGUAUGGCACCGAGAUGGCAUUGCUUUGGGAGAUCAAUCAUUGACUUUUGAUUCCCUAUGAUCAAAAUUCUUAACCGAAACCCAAGAAAUCUGAAGAUCGAUCUGAUUCGACUGACUUUUACGAUUUGUUGUUGGCCAUUUUGGCUUCCCUUUUUCUUUUCUUCUUUUCUUUUCUUUUCUGGGUGAAAAUUUCUUUUCUCAGUUUCAGCUUAGAUAUGGAUUACAGAGUUAAAGCUAACAUUCCCUUUGGAAUAUAUUUCUUUAAGAGACUUGAUUGCUUUCAUAUAAUAAAAGUAUUCAACCAGAAAUAUGUGGGCCUUUUGUCUAAAUUCAUUGUUGUGUAUUCCUUUCUCUCUCACAAACACACAUACACGCCACAUUCAAUCUUGUUAAACUCUUAGAUGGUAGUUGUGUUGCUUUGUAUUAUAUCGCAACCACCAUAAGAUGUUGGUUCAGUUUCAGCUUUUUUAUUUUUCUUUUUUUUAUCAAAUCCAUCAUGGAAAUGUUAAUUUAGCUUGUUAUGUAUCUGAGACAAAAUAAUAUGCAACACUAGUUUCCUUUGCAAUUGAAUUGAAUGCAGUCACUUGCAGAAUUCAAAAGCAAGUUAGACCAUUAUUCAUCAGUCAUGAUCCUGAAGG